rnacentral:lncRNA from 1 species
UUUCAAAGGAUACGUGACUAUCCUAGAAGCCUGAGUCCAGGCUGGUAUUUGGGUUUUGUGCUUCCUCCACCACCCCAGUUGUCCUGUGGAUGGUCACAUGAGUCCUGCUUCAGUGGCCCAUGGGGACAACAAAGUGAAUUUCUGGAUUCUUCUCCGAUCCCUCAGAGAGCACAUGACCCACCACCCCAUGUCUGACCUUCAGGGCACUCUGAAGAACUAGGCCCUGGAUUCCUACCAUGCAGAGAUCACCCAGACCUGGCAGCAGGAUGGGGAGGACCAGACUCAGGACAUGGAACCUGUGGAGACCAGGCCUGCAGGGGAUGGAACCUUCCAGAAGUUUGUCAGGUAAAGAAGGAGCCCUUCUUGAGACACUCAGCAGGGUCUGGGCUGAGAGCUGGGGGGGGGGGUCAGGGGUCCUCAUCUUCCCCUCCACCCCAGAGCCUCCUCCUCAGCCUACUAUCCCGAUCAUGGUGAUUGUCGUGGACAUGGUUUUCUUGGAGCUGUGGUGGUGGCUUUUGUGAACAGGAGGAAUGAAGGUAAAGAAGGUAGAAGGUCUGAGUUCUUGUCCUACCAGGGAUUUCAAGCUGUAGCUAGAAGUAUGUCUUGCCACAUCAAUGGGCAGGUGCUUACCCAGCCUGGUCUAUUUGAUGACACCUACUCUUUUAUAAAUCACAUAGAAAAUUUAGCCUACUGAUAGUAGUGAUGGGGACUUGAUUCCCAGCAGGUAGAGGUCAGAGAGGGAAGGUCCCUGUUGAGGACAUGCCUCCAGGAGGGCAGUAGAUCCUCUUCCUGCACAUCUUCCUUUCUUGUGACUCCUAAUCCUUUCCUGGGUCUGCAGGAACAGUCCUGGAAACUUCCCUUGGCCUCAGGACUAGGAGGUUUCUCUAGGUCCUCAUGGCUCUACCUUUCUGGCCUCUCACAAGAGGACAAAGAGACAGCUACUCAGUCUGUAAGUAAGUAUGGUGGUGGCAGCAGCACUGAGACCCUCGUGGCAGUGUAGACAGGAAUGCAUGGUUGAACUCACCUACCCAUAAUUCCUCCUUUAGCCACAUCUCCUGUGGGCUCUGGCCAGGUCCUGUUUUUUUCUUCCCUAGACAGUGACAGUGCCCAGGGUACCAAUGAGUCUCUCACAGCAUGAAAAGGUGAGAUCCUGAGGGCCUGAAGUAGGACAUUGGGUGGGAAAGAGGGCAGACACCUGGGUUAUGGGACUGUGGUUUGGGAUAUUUUGAGUGUGUGGUAGGCUAGCUACUCAGAGUGUCUCCCCCUUAUAGUACCUGCUUGAAUUUGUCAUGAUCAUUUCUCCUACAGUGUGAGACAGCUGCCUUGUGAGGACUGAGCCACACAAGGUCUGUUCAGGUCUCUUCUCCCCACCCUCCUCUGUCUUCAAGAGCUCCUGAUUUCUCUGUCUGCAAUUGGCCUCUGACUCUGUCCAUGUGU